rnacentral:misc_RNA from 1 species
UUGUUAUGACAUGCACCAUAGAUGUUAGCCCCUUAGAGGAAAUUAAUCACUGUAACAGUUUAUUAAUGGUUCAAGUGAAUGUUUGAGUGAACUAUAAGUAGCCAUAGUCCAUAGACAUGGUCACUUAUGGAUGGUGAACAGUGGAGGAUAAUAUCAUUAACUUCUGGUGCCAAGAUGAUGUAUGCGAAGUUGGGUUUUUGGCUGGCACUGGAUGAAAGUGUCUGCUUUAUGAUUUGGAUAAGUUUUGUGAGAUAGAAUUAAGGGUUGUCUCACAUAAUUGUGAAAGAUGGCUUUCAUUAUAUUAGUUCAAA